rnacentral:rRNA from 1 species
AUUUAAUUCGAAAUUUUUUUUUUUUUGUAUUUAA